rnacentral:rRNA from 1 species
CUUGGCGGCCAUAGCGCAGCGGACCCACCUGAUCCCAUGCCGAACUCAGAAGUGAAACGUUGUAGCGCCGAUGGUAGUGUGGGGUCUCCCCAUGUGAGAGUAGGGAACUGCCAGGC